AUUGAACGCUGGCGGCAUGCCUUACACAUGCAAGUCGAACGGUAACGCGGGGCAACCUGGCGACGAGUGGCGAACGGGUGAGUAAAGUAUCGGAACGUGCCCAAUAGUGGGGGAUAGCCCGGCCGAAAGCCGGAUUAAUACCGCAUGAGACCCUGAGGGUGAAAGCGGGGGACGUCGCAAGAGCCUCGCGCUGUUGGAGCGGCCGAUAUCAGAUUAGGUAGUUGGUGGGGUAAAGGCCUACCAAGCCGACGAUCUGUAGCUGGUCUGAGAGGACGACCAGCCACACUGGGACUGAGACACGGCCCAGACUCCUACGGGAGGCAGCAGUGGGGAAUUUUGGACAAUGGGCGCAAGCCUGAUCCAGCCAUGCCGCGUGCGGGAAGAAGGCCUCGG
rnacentral:rRNA from 1 species